AGCGAACGCUGGCGGCAGGCCUAACACAUGCCAGUCGAACGAACCUUUCGGGGUUAGUGGCGGACGGGUGAGUAACACGUGGGAACGUGCCUUUAGGUUCGGAAUAACUCAGGGAAACUUGUGCUAAUACCGAAUGUGCCCUUCGGGGGAAAGAUUAAUCGCCUUUAGAGCGGCCCGCGUCUGAUUAGCUAGUUGGUUGAGGUAAUGGCUCACCAAGGCGACGAUCAGUAGCUGGUCUGAGAGGAUGAUCAGCCACAUUGGGACUGAGACACGGCCCAAACUCCUACGGGAGGCAGCAGUGGGGAAUCUUGCGCAAUGGGCGAAAGCCUGACGCAGCCAUGCCGCGUGAAUGAUGAAGGUCUUAGGAUUGUAAAAUUCUUUCACCGGGGACGAUAAUGACGGUACCCGGAGAAGAAGCCCCGGCGAACUUCGU
rnacentral:rRNA from 1 species